AAAACGGUUAGUUUGCGGGAGAGGAGAAGCACAGCUCGGAAAAGCGUGAGUGAAAGCGAUGAUGUCUCCCCUUGUCCUCCUCGUGUGUGUCGGUGUGGUGGCGGUUGGUGCCGACCUUGCUGGAGUCACUGUCACAGAUGGGGACUGCCUUUGCGUCGUUGGGACCGGCGUCAACGCUAGGGACAGACCGGGGACAUCAGGUACCACUGUCAUUGCCCGCUAUGACACCGGAAGCUGUUUCAAGCUGAGCGGAGGAAUCCAGGCAGCGGGAUCGUACACUUGGUAUUAGGUCACAGACGGGUCAAAGAGCUUUUGGAUCGCUGGAAACUACCUGAAGAAGUCGUCAGCCAGCGAUUGCACUUCCGGUGCGUGCAGUGCGCGAGAGAAGGAGCUGGCGUGUGAACUGUUACGUAACCCCAAGAUAGGGUUGGCCAGGGUCCACCCGUCUGGUAAGACCGACAACGCCUACGCUUACAACAAUCUUCGUGAUAUGUGCAAUGGAUUGAAAGCCUCUCGUUCCAGUUACAGCUGCAGUGAAUGUGCGACGGGAGCACCAGGUGGAACCGUUUGUCUGAGCGAAAAAGUACUAGAGUACCUGGCCACCCUUGCUCAAAAAUACGACGAUGUUUAUGUCACAGAGCUGGCGGGCGCUUGUCACUCGUGUUCAUCUCUCCACUACUCUGGGAAGGCCGUGGACCUGCGCAUACCUGGCACCAGAGCCCAACGUCAGGGCUACCUGGACACCUGCAAAACUUGAAAGCCACCCUGUCACUCGACGAAGGCAACCACAUCCACUGUCAGUUUUAAAAUGUCCCCACUGCCCUCAAACACCAACUUCUUGCGCAUGUCCGGUGAUCCCCUGGUCCCAAAGCUUCUAGAGCUGGUUACACACCAUCUCACUGGAUGUUAGCUAAGCUGCUCUCCUGAAGCAGUCAGAAAUAGUUCUCAUAUUUCA